rnacentral:rRNA from 1 species
GACGAACGCUGGCGGCGUGCUUAACACAUGCAAGUCGAACGGUAAGGCCCUCCGGGGUACACGAGUGGCGAACGGGUGAGUAACACGUGGGUGAUCUGCCCUGCACUUCGGGAUAAGCCUGGGAAACUGGGUCUAAUACCGGAUAGGACCCUGGGAUGCAUGUCCUGGGGUGGAAAGCUUUUGCGGUGUGGGAUGGGCCCGCGGCCUAUCAGCUUGUUGGUGGGGUGAUGGCCUACCAAGGCGACGACGGGUAGCCGGCCUGAGAGGGUGACCGGCCACACUGGGACUGAGAUACGGCCCAGACUCCUACGGGAGGCAGCAGUGGGGAAUAUUGCACAAGGGGCGCAAGCCUGGUGCAGCGACGCCGCGUGAGGGAUGACGGCCUUCGGGUUGUAAACCUAUUUCAGCACCGACGAAGCGCAAGUGACGGUAGGUGCAGAAGAAGGACCGGCCAACUACGUGCCAGCAGCCGCCGUAA